rnacentral:tRNA from 1 species
AAGUUAAUUAGCUUAAAAAAAGUGUAUAUUUUGAAAAUAUAAGAUAGAUUAGAUUUUAUUAACUUA